rnacentral:lncRNA from 1 species
UGGUCCGCUUCCUGUUGCAUUGCUUCUACAACUCCUGGGUGUUCGAGUUUGUUUUCGAUUUACAGAAAUUGAAGCUGCGUUUUGUUGAUUUGGUUCUCGCUGAGUUCCAGCUCUUCAUUCGCCUUUAUUUGGUUAUUCAAGUUCGUCUCUACUGCUAUUUAGAGGUUUUGAAUUCUUGCUUGUCGCUGGCGAUUUUUCCGGCAACCCCUGUUCUUUUCUUUCUAUUCUCUCUUCUGCUUUUUUGUGGGUGUGGGUGGGUGUGUUCUGUUUUCUUGGACAGGUGCCUUAUUUUUCCGGCGAGGAUUUCCGGCAAGCUCUCUCUUCUGCUUUUUUGUGGGUGUGUUGUGUUUUAUUUGACAGGUGCCUUAUUUUUUCGGCGAGGAUUUCCGGCAAGAUACAGUACUUCCAAUGACUCCCCUUCAGACUUUUGGCAGGACGCAAUAGAAAUACACGUUCCGAUAAGCUUCAGGAAAACUUGGGCGCAUCAAAGCCUACUUUCAGGUUUUUUCACCGGGAGUUGGUACCUCCCGCUCUCUUAUUUACUUUGUACAUCUUUUUACGUAUUUUAGCUAGCAUUCUGUGUGAGGUUUAUUCUGUUGCUAUCUACUUUGCAUCUUUUUGCGUAUUCCGCUAUAGUGCGUGUGUGCGCCACUAUUCCCCAUAGUCGGUUGGAGGGAUAGUGGCAGCGGCGGGGGAUGAUAGCGUAAGGUCAUGUCCUCGGG